CAUGGAGGGUGAGAAUCCCGUUCGGCUGAUAUCAUGACGCUUUACGAUACGCUUUCAAAGAGUCGAGUUGUUUGGGAUUGCAGCUCAAAAUGGGAGGUAAAUUUCUCCUAAGGCUAAAUAUUGGCGAGAGACCGAUAGCGAACAAGUACCGUGAGGGAAAGAUGAAAAGAAUUUUGAAAAGAGAGUUAAAAAGUACGUGAAAUUGUUGAAAGGGAAACGAUUGAAGUCAGUCGUACCGACGGGAAAUCAACUUCUCGAGUGCCUAUCGUGGGUGACGUUGAGCUUCACGGCCUUCGUUGCUUGUGUUGUUGGUGCUUUUGGUGCGUACUUUUCCAUAUGGUAGGUCAGCAUCGAUUUUGAUCGUCAUAAAAUGAUCGGGGGAAUGUAGCUUCGGUCUCGUAUCGGAGUGUUAUAGACCUUGGUAGAUGUGACGAUUGGGAUCGAGGAUUGCAACGAAUACCUUUUUGGGCUAUCCGUCUGUCCUCUGAAAGUCGCUCGGGGGUUGAAAGCGUGCUCAUGGCCAUUCGAGUUGGCGGUCAAAAGGUUAGAACGUGAUUACAUUCGUUAAGGAUGUUGACGUAAUGG
rnacentral:rRNA from 1 species